AAGCAUAUCAAUAAGCGGAGGAAAAGAAACCAACAGGGAUUGCCUCAGUAACGGCGAGUGAAGCGGCAACAGCUCAAAUUUGAAAUCUGACUUCGGUCCGAGUUGUAAUUUGUAGAGGAAGUCUCGGGUGCGAUACCGGUCUAAGUUCCUUGGAACAGGACGUCAUAGAGGGUGAGAAUCCCGUAUGCGACUGGUGGUCAACCCCAUGUGAGGCCCCUUCGACGAGUCGAGUUGUUUGGGAAUGCAGCUCAAAAUGGGUGGUAAAUUUCAUCUAAAGCUAAAUACUGGCCAGAGACCGAUAGCGCACAAGUAGAGUGAUCGAAAGAUGAAAAGCACUUUGGAAAGAGAGUUAAAAAGUACGUGAAAUUGUUGAAAGGGAAGCGCUUGCAACCAGACUUGCUCGCGGGUGAUCCGCCGUCCUUCGGGGCGGUCUACUCUUCCGUGAUCAGGCCAACAUCGGUUUGGCGGCUGGAUACAGG
rnacentral:rRNA from 1 species